UACGUAGGGUGCGAGCGUUAAUCGGAAUUACUGGGCGUAAAGCGUGCGCAGGCGGUUUUGUAAGCCAGAUGUGAAAUCCCCGGGCUCAACCUGGGAAUGGCAUUGGUGACUGCACGGCUAGAGUGUGUCAGAGGGGGGUAGAAUUCCACGUGUAGCAGUGAAAUGCGUAGAGAUGUGGAGGAAUACCGAUGGCGAAGGCAGCCCCCCUGGGAUAACACUGACGCUCAUGCACGAAAGCGUGGGGAGCAAACAGG
rnacentral:rRNA from 1 species